rnacentral:misc_RNA from 1 species
GAUGAAGAACGCAGCGAAAUGCGAUAAGUAAUGUGAAUUGCAGAAUUCAGUGAAUCAUCGAAUCUUUGAACGCACAUUGCGCCCGUCAGUAUUCUGGCGGGCAUGCCUGUUCGAGCGUCAUUACGCCCCUCAAGUCCCCUGUGGACUUGGUGUUGGGGAUCGGCGAGGCUGGUUUUCCAGCACAGCCGUCCCUUAAAUUAAUUGGCGGUCUCGCCGUGGCCCUCCUCUGCGCAGUAGUAAAACACUCGCAACAGGAGCCCGGCGCGGUCCACUGCCGUAAAACCCCCCAACUUUUUAUAGUUGACCUCGAAUCAGGUAGGACUCCCCGCUGAACUUAAGCAUAUCAAUAAGCGGAGGA